rnacentral:rRNA from 1 species
AACGAACGCUGGCGGCAUGCCUAACACAUGCAAGUCGAACGAGACCUUCGGGUCUAGUGGCGCACGGGUGCGUAACGCGUGGGAACCUGCCCUUAGGUUCGGAAUAACUCCCCGAAAGGGGUGCUAAUACCGGAUAAUGUCUUCGGACCAAAGAUUUAUCGCCUUUGGAUGGGCCCGCGUUGGAUUAGCUGGUUGGUAGGGUAAAAGCCUACCAAGGCGACGAUCCAUAGCUGGUCGGAGAGGAUGAUCAGCCACACUGGGACUGAGACACGGCCCAGACUCCUACGGGAGGCAGCAGUGGGGAAUAUUGGACAAGGGGCGAAAGCCUGAUCCAGCAAUGCCGCGUGAGUGAUGAAGGCCUUAGGGUUGUAAAGCUCUUUUACCCGGGAUGAUAAUGACAGUACCGGGAGAAUAAGCGCCGGCUAACUCCGUG